AUACGUAGGGUGUAAGCGUUAAUCGGAAUUACUGGGCGUAAAGCGUGCGCAGGCGGUUUUGUAAGACAGUGGUGAAAUCCCCGGGCUCAACCUGGGAACUGCCAUUGUGACUGCAAGGCUGGAGUGCGGCAGAGGGGGAUGGAAUUCCGCGUGUAGCAGUGAAAUGCGUAGAUAUGCGGAGGAACACCGAUGGCGAAGGCAAUCCCCUGGGCAUGCACUGACGCUCAUGCACGAAAGCGUGGGGAGCAAACAGGAUUAGAUACCCUGGUAGUCCACGCCCUAAACGAUGUCAACUGGUUGUUGGGGAUUUAUUUUCUCAGUAACGAAGCUAACGCGUGAAGUUGACCGCCUGGGGAGUACGGCCGCAAGGUUAAAACUCAAAUGAAUUGACGGGG
rnacentral:rRNA from 1 species